AUGAAACCAAUGGCGGCUGACUGGCAGCAGCGGGUGCCAGAGGUCGCGAGCAGGAUCGAGGUAAUCUUGUUUAGGAGACACCCAAACAAGACGGAGUACUGCAAUAUGGCGAAGGGGGCAAUUCAGUCAUACUUGUACUUCGCUCUCCGGUUCUUGACUGCUCAUCAAAACCAACAACAGCAACAAAGCCAACAAUCCUCAGGACAAAUAGCAUCUUCACCUGGAUAUAUCACCCAAGGUGCAAGUGGAACUUCUAGAAUGUCUUAUGUAACACACAACAUGGAUCCUUCUUCUAGUGCAGGCUUGGUUCCACAGAGUGCGACCAUGGGUACCUCGCUGCCAGGGGGAGCUCCUGAUGAGCAUGUGAACACCACGCUGUCUUUGGGGAUAAACCCUACACAACAUGAUUGGUCUACAGAGUCCAACAACAACAACCUCGUAAGAGCUCUACGCUAUGGUUUACACAUAGCAAAUGUGGUAGUUAGUAUAUCCCUAAAGAUUCAUUUAACACUGCAGCCCAAGCUGACAGAGGCACACCCGGUGCCUCCUAUAAAGGAUCUCCCAAGGAAACCGAGGUUCAUCUGCCCAAUCUGCAAGAACGAGUUGGUCGAUGCGUCAUCAACUAUCUGUGGCCACAUCUUCUGCCAGAAGUGCAUCGAGCCCUCCAUCCAGGCACAGAAGAAGUGUCCUACCUAUCGUAGGAAGCUGCCCAUGAGAAGUUUCCACCGCAUCUACCUCCCGAUGAUGGAC
rnacentral:rRNA from 1 species